rnacentral:rRNA from 1 species
UACAGAGGGGGCAAGCGUUGUUCGGAAUUACUGGGCGUAAAGGGCGAGUAGGUGGCCAUCUAAGUCAGACGUGAAAUCCCCCGGCUUAACCUGGGAACUGCGUCUGAUACUGUGCGGCUAGAGUGCGGAAGGGGCAACUGGAAUUCUUGGUGUAGCGGUGAAAUGCGUAGAUAUCAAGAGGAACACCUGCGGCGAAGGCGGGUUGCUGGGCCGACACUGACGCUGAGGCGCGAAAGCUAGGGGAGCGAACGGG